rnacentral:rRNA from 1 species
ACUCGAAAAAAGAAUUUUAGUCCAACCUAAAGUAACUCAUAAAUUAAACUAUCACUUUAGAGUAAUUCAAAUAAGGUACAGCCUAUUUGAAACAGGAUACAACCUCUAACAACGGCUAAUAAUAAAAUAUCUAACCAAGUGGGCCUAAAAGCAGCCACCUUUAAAGAGCGUCAAAGCCUAAUUUCUUCACCACUAAAUACCGCAACCUCCACAGAAUCCUUCAUCAAUAUCGAGUACUUCUAUGCCACCAUAGAAACUUUUAUGUUAAAACUAGUAACAAGAAAACUCUUCUCUUUAAUGUAAACAUGAAUCAGAACGGACCCCCCACUGAUAACUACACCCUCUAACAACAACUCACCCACGAAAACCCUGCUCCCUAAACGGUCAACCUUACACAAGAACAUUACAAGCAUGAUUUAAAGAAAAAGAAGGAACUCGGCAAACAUUAAUUCCGCCUGUUUACCAAAAACAUCGCCUCCUGAUAAUCAUAAGAGGUCCAGCCUGCCCAGUGACUCUAGUUCAACGGCCGCGGUAUCCUGACCGUGCGAAGGUAGCGUAAUCACUUGUCUUUUAAAUUGAGACUAGUAUGAAAGGCACCACGAGAAUUAAACUGUCUCCUUUUUCUAAUCUGUGAAACUGAUCCCCCCGUGAAGAAGCGGGGAUUUUGAUAUAAGACGAGAAGACCCUAUGGAGCUUCAGACAAAUAACAAUGCCCUCCCUUUUUUUUCUAAAAAAUACCCGAGCAUCUUAAUUAUUUAGUCUUAGGUUGGGGCGACCAUGGAGUAAAAAUCACCCUCCAUGCUGAACAGGACCUCCUUAAAUAAGAGUAACAACUCUAAGAAUCAAUAAAUUGACACAUUUGACCCAAUUACUUGAUCAACGAAACAAGUUACCCUAGGGAUAACAGCGCAAUCCACUUCAAGAGCCCUUAUCAACAAGUGGGUUUACGACCUCGAUGUUGGAUCAGGGUAUCCCAGUGGUGCAGCCGCUACUAAAGGUUUGUUUGUUCAACAAUUAAAACCCUACGUGAUCUGAGU